GGGUUGAUAUUUUAACACUAAACUCCUUAUUGCGUGUAAAGCCCUGGAAGUCUUCUUCCUCCAAGCCUCGAACUGACAAACGUUUUCUGGUUUUGGAAGUUCAGCUGUACCCUGCACUGCAUCCCAAAGGCCUCUAGCCAACAAGUAAUUUUUAACCAAUGCACUCCAGUACUCAUGGUUAUCUUCGUCAAGAACCUCCACAACAAUUGCGUCGGCAGGAACCACAGGUUUCACCAUUCUUACUGCUAUUCAC
rnacentral:lncRNA from 1 species